GUCUACAGCCAUACCACCCUGAACGCACCCGAUCCCGUCUGAUCUCAGAAGCUAAGCAGGGUCGGGCCUGGUUAGCACUUGGAUGGGAGACCUGGGCCAGCUCGAAUCC
rnacentral:rRNA from 1 species